UACGGGGGGUGCGAGCGUUGUCCGGAAUCACUGGGCGUAAAGGGCGCGUAGGUGGUUUGAUAAGGGUGUGGUGAAAGUCCGGAGCUCAACUCCGGAUCUGCCGUGCCGACUGUCAAACUCGAGGGCUGUAGAGGCAGACGGAAUUCCGGGUGUAGCGGUGGAAUGCGUAGAGAUCCGGAGGAAGACCGGUGGCGAAGGCGGUCUGCUGGGCAGUUUCUGACACUGAGGCGCGACAGCGUGGGGAGCGAACGAGG
rnacentral:rRNA from 1 species